rnacentral:rRNA from 1 species
UACGUAGGUGGCAAGCGUUGUCCGGAUUUAUUGGGUUUAAAGGGUGCGUAGGCGGCUUAAUAAGUCAGUGGUGAAAGCCGAUCGCUUAACGAAUCGAACUGCCCAUUGAUACUGCUAGGCUUGAGUAUAGAUGAGGUAGGCGGAAUUGACAGUGUAGCGGUGAAAUGCAUAGAUAUUGUCAAGAACACCAAUUGCGAAGGCAGCUUACUAAGUUAUAACUGACGCUGAGGCACGAAAGUGCGGGGAUCAAACAGG